AACACAUGCAAGUCGAACGCGCCAAGUAGCAAUACAGGUGUGGGCGCGUGGCGAACGGGUGCGUAACACGUGGAUAACCUUCCUUGAGGUGGGGAAUAACCCAGUGAAAAUUGGGCUAAUACCGCAUAACAUCGCGUAGGCACAUGCUGAUGCGAUCAAAGGCGCAAGUCGCCACAAGAGGGAUCCGCGGCCGAUUAGCUUGUUGGCGAGGUAAUGGCUCACCAAGGCAAUGAUCGGUAGCCGGACUGAGAGGUUGGCCGGCCACACUGGAACUGAGACACGGUCCAGACUCCUACGGGAGGCAGCAGUGGGGAAUCUUGCACAAUGGACGAAAGUCUGAUGCAGCAACGCCGCGUGGGGGAUGAAGCUUCUCGGAGUGUAAACCCCUUUCGACCCGGAAGAAUGCCCGCAAGGGUAUGACGG
rnacentral:rRNA from 1 species